rnacentral:sRNA from 1 species
CACUGCCAUGUGAAGUGCUGUCUGGCCCUUCUUAUCGAUUCUGGUGGCAAUCGCAGGCUCUUUCUCAAGAAGUGCUUUCACAACAGCCACAUGUCCAUUUCUUGCAGCAGAAUGCAGAGCUGUUUUCCCAUUACUUCUAGCAAUGGUUGCCAGACUACUUUCUGCUUCCAAUAGAAACUUCACUAUCUCAGUGUGCCCUUGUAUUGCAGCUGUGUGCAAAGCUGUGGUGUUGGAUAGAUCCACAGUCAUUGACAACUCAGGAUGACUUUCCAUCAGAACCUUCAUUACAUCUACAACAAAGCAAAGAGAACUGAGGUUUCCUCCUAAAUCAAACAAGCAGUGUAACCAUAUUCAGCAGCAACAUAAAGGGGAGUUUCUCCAUCUUGAUUCUGCUUGGCCAAUAAUUCAUGCAAUUCAACCUCAUUAGUUCCGCAAAUGGAAUCCUUCAGCACAGCCAAAUUCCCUGAUCUUGCUGCAGAAUGCAAAGGUGUAUCGUCCCUUUUUCCCGUCAAUUGUUUUACCAUUUUUUUCUUAUAGGUGUUUAUUGCCGGCACCCCUGGUGUCUCCAUAUUGGCUUCUUCACCAACCUAUUAAAUUCUACUCUUUUAAUGCUAAUUAUUAGUAUGUCAACAAAACCUUAUUUCCAUUGUUCCUCCAAAAUCCCAGAUC